rnacentral:rRNA from 1 species
UACGUAGGGGGCAAGCGUUGUCCGGAAUCAUUGGGCGUAAAGAGCGUGUAGGCGGCCCGAUAAGUCUGCUGUGAAAGUCCAGGGCUCAACCCUGGGAUGCCGGUGGAUACUGUCGGGCUCGAGUCCGGAAGAGGAGUGUGGAAUUCCUGGUGUAGCGGUGAAAUGCGCAGAUAUCAGGAGGAACACCAAUGGCGAAGGCAGCACUCUGGGACGUGACUGACGCUGAGACGCGAAAGCGUGGGGAGCAAACAGG